GCCCUCGUGGUGAAAUGGAUAUCAUUCUUGUCUUCGGAACAAGCGUUGGGGGUUCGAAUCCCUCCGGGGGCACCA
rnacentral:tRNA from 1 species